UCGUAGUUGUGGGAACGCCUCUUACUAUUUCAUGUAUUUAGCAUUGAUAAUCGAGAGGUUCGCGCCUGCUAAUACGUGCGUAACGUAAACUAAGAAGGCACGAUGUUAGAAGUUGUUACAUCCAACCCAGUUUUGGCAGGCUGGGUCUUGGCCGUGAUAGCAUGUUUUGUGAUCGUCCUCAUGCUUACAACAUGCAUAAAUUGCUUUGACAGAAUAACCUUUAAGGAACUGGACGAGGUGUCGACGAUGGUCAACGUGUCAAUCGACGCGACAACGGCGGGGGCGCCACCGUCGCCGGACCCCGUCGAUGCGUCGGACGUCGUCAUGGAGGCGU